UACGUAGGUGGCGAGCGUUGUCCGGAUUUACUGGGCGUAAAGGGAGCGUAGGCGGACUUUUAAGUGAGAUGUGAAAUACUCGGGCUCAACGUGAGUGCUGCAUUUCAAACUGGAAGUCUAGAGUGCAGGAGAGGAGAAUGGAAUUCCUAGUGUAGCGGUGAAAUGCGUAGAGAUUAGGAAGAACACCAGUGGCGAAGGCGAUUCUCUGGACUGUAACUGACGCUGAGGCUCGAAAGCGUGGGGAGCAAACAGG
rnacentral:rRNA from 1 species